rnacentral:rRNA from 1 species
UACAGAGGUCUCAACCGUUGUUCGGAUUCAUUGGGCGUAAAGGGUGCGUAGGUGGCGUCGUAAGUCAGGUGUGAAAUCCCCGAGCUUAACUCGGGAACUGCCGUGGAUACUAUCGAUCUUGAAUACUGUGGAGGUAAGCGGAAUAUGUCAUGUAGCGGUGAAAUGCUUAGAUAUGACAUAGAACACCGAUAGCGAAGGCAGCUUGCUACACAGUCAUUGACACUGAGGCACGAAAGCGUGGGGAGCAAACAGG